GAGCCACCCAACUACCAACUCCCAAAGUAGAGGAAAAAAACACUCCCGCCCUUCUCUCACCGUCGUCAGUAGACUCAGUACCACAGAUGACUAUGGUUCUAAGCCAUUGGAGUGGUGGUGCUAUGCGUCAUCCUUCCCGAUUUUCAAGCUGUUUUCAUGGGAUAAAUAAAGUGCCUACCAACAGGAUUAUGAGUAGUUCUACCCCUGAGGAUAUUACACAAGACACUGCUACUCUAUCAAAGACCAACAGAAUUAGCAGCUUACAAAUAAAAAGUUUCGCAAGUUUGGCUGCAGGGGCAAACUUGGUCACAGCAGACGCAGCAAAGGCCUUGCCCAUGAACAACGUGAUGGAAGGAGCAGCAUUUUUCCCAACUUUGGCUGAUACUGGCCUUGGAGAUUGGUUUGGAGGUUUCUUGUAUUCAUCUGGACAGCAGGCUAAUGAAGCUGUUCAGGACCAGCUGUCAGCACUCAGUGUUACCAGUUUAGUGGUUAUCUUUGGGGCAGGGCUUGUCACCAGCCUAUCCCCUUGUACAUUAAGUGUAUUACCACUUACCCUUGGUUACAUCGGAGCAUUUGGCUCUGGGAAAAGCCGAGCUGAGAUUGUUGGGGAUUCAGUUGCAUUCUCAUUGGGAUUGGCAACAACGUUAGCGAUCUUAGGAAUAACUGCCUCUUUCGCUGGAAAGGCUUAUGGACAGAUUGGGCAGGGGCUACCUGUGGCUGCCUCUGGCUUGGCUGUCAUCAUGGGCUUGAAUCUUCUGGAGAUUAUUGAAAUACAGCUUCCUUCAUUAUUCAACAAUUUUGACCCCCGUGCUGCUGCAGCUAACUUCCCUUCAAGUGUGCAAGCUUACUUGGCUGGGCUUACAUUUGCCUUAGCUGCUUCUCCCUGUAGUACACCUGUGCUGGCCACCCUGCUUGGAUAUGUGGCUUCAACCAAGGAUCCAGUUAUAGGCGGCAGCAUACUUCUUACAUACACAACUGGCUAUGUUGCUCCUCUACUCCUGGCUGCUUCUUUUGCAGGCGCCUUGCAGAGCCUGCUUUCAUUUCGCAAGUUUUCAGCAUGGAUUAAUCCAAUGAGCGGUGCACUCCUAUUAGGUGGAGGUGUAUAUACUCUGUUGGAUAGGCUCUUUCCUCUUACCACAAUGGCAAUGUAGCAACACACUAUGAACAGAAAAAAGCAGCAAUUAUAACAUGGGAAGAUAGUAGCAGAAGGUAUGCAAAUAUUGCAGUCUGGGCUAUUUGGCACAAGAAUUUGCAAACCCCACAAGCCCAUCAGGUCCAAAGCUCAAAGUUCGUUGAUAUGAGAGGAUCUAAUGAUGGAUAUCAGCCAAUGUCUGUUAGCCAACUGGAGUGCAAACAUGGUCCAUUUCAUUUUGUAAGUAUACAGGGCAAGCAUAGAAUGGGCAUUACACUCCCAGGCCCAGCCUAUUUCUCUCACAUAGCUCAGGCUAUGGAACAGUCGUAUCAUCAAAUGGUUCAGUGAUGCAGUUAAGGUGGAGCAAACCCUAACCUAUCCAUCAAAUGUUUCAUUUAGACUUAAUUAAGUUUAUUUUAGUUCCUUUUAGUUUA